GUCCACCACUGUUCUUUACUCUUAUUUGAUAACUGUUGUCUGGACAACUUCAGUUUUCACAGUUCCCUUAAUCUUCAAGGGUAAUAAAAAAACAAGUGUAACUCCUCAGACUGCAUAUCUGAUUCAUCCACAUGCAAUUAUUUUUCUUCCUAGCUUUCAUCUUGAUUUUUACUAGUUUUCCCCUUGUAUGAAUCGUUUGCUUUAAUUACUCUCUUUUGCAUCAUAGAUGCGCUGAUAUGAAAGAGAGUUUUACUAUCAGUGACUUCUAAUAUAUUUUCCAGAGGAUGAAACUUUGAUUUUUAAGUUAUUCUCAUAUGGGACUUGUAGUAAUAUUUCUGGGAUAUUGCAUAUCCAUAAGAAACUAACAUUUGGAGUGCUUCAGAACAGACAUCAUGUUUGAUGUGUAAUAUCUAAACUCCCUUUAAGACAAGAGGAAAUGUGUUAUAUCUGAUCUAGGUGUGAAUAAGAAAUAUAAUAAAUUACUGCCUGAUGACAUCUACACUUCUACUUUAAACACAAUAGCAUCCUGGUCUAGGGUCACAUGUUUUAAAAAAAAAAAAUGCUUUCUGGUCUAUGCCUGUUAGGCAAACUGUUAGGCAAAACCAUCAAAAA